rnacentral:pre_miRNA from 1 species
GAUUUCAGCUGAAAAAGUCAUCAAUAACAAAGUUGUAUAACUUAUGAAGAUCUAUAACUUCUAUUUUGGUUAUUUCCUCAUCUGACAAAAUGAUGGUAACAUUUGUUCAAAAUUUACAUCUCUUUCUCUCUCUUACAGUUUAUAAAACUAUAUAAGAAAUAUGUACAUUUUGUGAACAAUUUUACAAAUCACUUUGUCGGAUGAAGAAAUGACCAGAAUAAAAGUUAUAGAUUUUGAUAAGUUAUACCACUUUGUUAUUGAUGACUUUUUCAAUUUAAAUC